rnacentral:rRNA from 1 species
UGCAGUCGAACGAAGUAGCAAUACUUAGUGGCAGACGGGUGAGUAACAUGUGGGUAUCUACCCUUUGGCCUGGAAUAACACGAGGAAACUUGUGCUAAUACCGGAUAAGUCUUUACGGAGAAAGCUUUAUGCACCAUUGGAUGAGCCCGCACUUGAUUAGUUUGUUGGUAGGGUAAUGGCCUACCAAGACUAUGAUCAAUAGCUGAUUUGAGAGGAUGAUCAGCCACAUUGGGACUGAGACACGGCCCAAACUCCUACGGGAGGCAGCAGUGGGGAAUCUUGCACAAUGGAGGAAACUCUGAUGCAGCGAUGCCGCGUGAGUGAAGAAGGCCCUUGGGUUGUAAAGCUCUUUCGUCGGGGAAGAAAAUGACUGUACCCGAAUAAGAAGGUCCGGCUAACUUCGUGCCAGCAGCCGCGGUAAUACGAAGGGACCUAGCGUAGUUCGGAAUUACUGGGCUUAAAGAGUUCGUAGGUGGUUGAAAAAGUUAGUGGUGAAAUCCCAGAGCUUAACUCUGGAACUGCCAUUAAAACUUUUCAGCUAGAGUAUGAUAGAGGAAAGCAGAAUUUCUAGUGUAGAGGUGAAAUUCGUAGAUAUUAGAAAGAAUACCAAUUGCGAAGGCAGCUUUCUGGAUCAUUACUGACACUGAGGAACG